UCAAGGGCUUCGUUUUAGGGACCGUUGCAGUCCUCUGGAGCGCUUCGGCACCGGAAUUAUUCCACUGCAGCGCCGAGACAGAUCGGCCGUCCUGUCAAGAAGACUGCGAGCUAGUGCAGUGAUUGUCGUCUUACUCCGUGCAUGAGCCAGUUGAUGACCUGCACACGUAUUCUUCGUGCCAGUGCUCCGAACCUACUAUCGGCGUCAGUGCAUUCACGUGUUUCUUGCGGCUCAUCGUAGAAAGCCGGAUCAGUUCAAGCACGGCCCGAUACAUAACUGCGGCGGACUUUGAACUUGCAAAAAGAAAACAGCUACGAAGAUUCCUGUCACCAGUGGGUGUGUUGCCUGUGUGCGUGUGUCGCUUGCGCGAGCGCCGGCCGUCGCCCCGUCGGCGCUGUUUGUACUCGGGCGGAUUGUCACUGCCUACGCUAAUCCAAUGACGGCGAAACACACCGCAGCAAAGCGAGCAUCUUUGUAAACGAGCAGGAACCAGGUUGCCAACACACGCACGAAGAGCAACUGCCUUUCCAACUGUGCUGUGUGUGCUGCGCUUGCAUUGGUGUGCAAGUGGAGGAGAGGUCCAGUUAAUGUCCUGAUGCACUAUAAUAGCCGUCGAAAUAUUCUGCUUAAGACAUUUGUCACUUUUCUGACAUCCUAACAGCUCAAACAUCACCCCUAAAAGCAGUUUGAGUGCAUGUAUUUGCCUUCAUAGACACGUUGUAGCUGAAGUCAUUGUAUUUCUCAUCCAGA